CAGAUUAAUAAACAUGUAGUUAAAUGUCAGUUGAGUGUUCAAAGCUAAGUUAGAAAUUACCCUGUCCUAAGUACUGUGAAAAAUACAAAAACUACCUUUUAUAAACAUGAUCUGUCCUCCAUGUUCUCACAUUGUAGAUAUCUGGGAAAAAGAAAAAUAAUAUAAACUAACAGAAUACUUAAAUAAUAGCUUGACAGUAAUUUAGAAGAGACAAAACCUAUUCCAGUAUUGCCAUCCUAAUGUUGUAUAAUUAAACAUACAUGAUUUAUAACUUUGAAAUAAAUUACAUGAUUUUUACAAUUUCAAAAUCAAUUGCAUAUCAUGGCACUAUUGGAGGAGAUAAUUUUAUGGAGAAAAGCUCCUGAAAAACUGAGGAAACAGAGAACAAACUUUCACCAGCGAUUUGAAUCUCCAGAAUCACAGGCAUCUGCCGAACAGCCUGAAAUGUGAACUGAACA
rnacentral:lncRNA from 1 species